rnacentral:rRNA from 1 species
GAUGAACGCUAGCGGCAGGCCUAAUACAUGCAAGUCGAACGGUGUAGCAAUACACAGUGGCGCACGGGUGCGUAACACGUAUGCAACCUACCUAUUAUUGGGGGAUAGCCUUUGGAAACGGAGAUUAAUACCGCAUAAGACAGUGACAUGGCAUCAUGUAGCUGUUAAAGCUUCGGCGAUAAUAGAUGGGCAUGCGUCCAAUUAGUUAGUUGGUGAGGUAAUGGCUCACCAAGACGAUGAUUGGUAGGGGAUCUGAGAGGAUAAUCCCCCACACUGGCACUGGGAUACGGGCCAGACUCCUACGGGAGGCAGCAGUAGGGAAUAUUGGGCAAUGGACGGAAGUCUGACCCAGCCAUGCCGCGUGCAGGAUGACGGCGUUAUGCGUUGUAAACUGCUUUUUUAUAGGAAGAAGAAGCCCUUGCGAGGGAAAGUGACGGUACUAUAAGAAUAAGCACCGGCUAACUCCGUGCCAGCAGCCGCCGUAACAC